rnacentral:rRNA from 1 species
UGGGGAAUAUUGGACAAUGGGGGCAACCCUGAUCCGGCCAUGCCGCGUGAGUGAUGAAGGCCCUAGGGUUGUAAAGCUCUUUCGCCGGUGAAGAUAAUGACGGUAACCGGUAAAGAAGCCCCGGCUAACUUCGUGCCAGCAGCCGCGGUAAUACGAAGGGGGCUAGCGUUGUUCGGAAUUACUGGGCGUAAAGCGCACGUAGGCGGAUCAGUCAGUCAGGGGUGAAAUCCCGGGGCUCAACCCCGGAACUGCCUUUGAUACUGCUGGUCUGGAGUCCGAGAGAGGUGAGUGGAAUUCCGAGUGUAGAGGUGAAAUUCGUAGAUAUUCGGAGGAACACCAGUGGCGAAGGCGGCUCACUGGCUCGAUACUGACGCUGAGGUGCGAAAGUGUGGGGAGCAAACAGGAUUAGAUACCCCCGUAGUCC